rnacentral:rRNA from 2 species
AAAGCCUGAUGGAGCAACGCCGCGUGAGUGAAGAAGGAUUUCGGUUCGUAAAACUCUGUUGUAAGGGAAGAACAAGUACAGUAGUAACUGGCUGUACCUUGACGGUACCGGAAUAAGAAGCACCGGCUAACUACGUGCCAGCAGCCGCGGUAAUACGAAGGGGGCUAGCGUUGCUCGGAAUCACUGGGCGUAAAGCGCACGUAGGCGGAUCGUUAAGUCAGGGGUGAAAUCCUGGGGCUCAACCUCAGAACUGCCCUUGAUACUGGCGAUCUCGAGUUCGAGAGAGGUUGGUGGAACUCCGAGUGUAGAGGUGAAAUUCGUAGAUAUUCGGAAGAACACCAGUGGCGAAGGCGGCCAACUGGCUCGAUACUGACGCUGAGGUGCGAAAGCGUGGGGAGCAAACA